rnacentral:tRNA from 1 species
UCCGCGGUAGCUCAAUCGGCAGAGCGGGUGACUGUUAAUCACUAGGUUUCAGGUUCGAGUCCUGAUCGCGGAGCCA